rnacentral:rRNA from 1 species
GUUCCUACGGGAGGCAGCAGUGAGGAAUAUUGGUCAAUGGGCUUACGCCUGAACCAGCCAAGUCGCGUGAGGGAAGACUGCCCUAUGGGUUGUAAACCUCUUUUGUCGGGGAGCAAAGCGAGUCACGUGUGACUCAUUGAGGGUACCCGAAGAAAAAGCAUCGGCUAACUCCGUGCCAGCAGCCGCGGUAAUACGGAGGAUGCGAGCGUUAUCCGGAUUUAUUGGGUUUAAAGGGUGCGCAGGCGGAGGUGCAAGUCAGCGGUCAAAUUGCGGGGCUCAACCCCGUACUGCCGUUGAAACUGCAU